GCCCUGCCAGCCGCAGCCAUCUCGGCGGGCGCGCCGCUCGCAGCCAGCGCCCCAUCCCCAGGCCUGCACGUACGUCGUCGGCGAUCCGGGGCCGGGGGCGGCUCCGAGGUCGUCGGGGCCGGGGUCCCACCUCCUCUUGGAGGAAGCGCCGCCUCCCCACCCGCCCGGGGCCCUCGCCAAGUGGCUGCUAACAAAGCCCAGGGCCCGGCUGCGGGAUGGUUGACUGACAAAGUCAUGCCUGCCUAGCCAGCUUCCUCGUGCAGCACGGUGAAGGCUGGGGCGCCGGGUUUUUACUCCCACGUCCUGCCAACUCGAGCUGACAAGGCGGGCAAUCCACCAGCGGGAGCGUUGGCAGGCCCGGGGUCAGAUCCUGAUUCAGCCAGUUAAUUGGAGCUGAACACUGCCCCGAGAAUGCAACAGAACUUCAGCUCUGUCCCAAGGUCGUCAGCCACAGCUCCAAGUUUCUUAGCAUCAGCUUUUUCUGAACAAAAUAGUGCAUCCUGCUGGAAUCACUACUGUAAACUGAGUAUAAAGGAAAAUAAACCCUCUUUUUCUUAUCC
rnacentral:lncRNA from 1 species